rnacentral:rRNA from 1 species
UGCAGUCGAACGCGAACGUUUCCUUCGGGGAACUAGUAGAGUGGCGCACGGGUGAGUAACGCGUAAGUAAUCUACCCUCGCAUCGGGGAUAACCCACCGAAAGGUGUGCUAAUACCAGAUACGUCUCAUUUAAUAUCUUUUGAUGAGAGAAAGGUGGCCUCUUGAUUCAAAGCUACUGUGCGGGGAGGAGCUUGCGUACCAUUAGCUAGUUGGUAGGGUAACGGCCUACCAAGGCGAUGAUGGUUAGCGGGUCUGAGAGGAUGAUCCGCCACACUGGAACUGGAACACGGACCAGACUCCUACGGGAGGCAGCAGUGAGGAAUAUUGCGCAAUGGGGGCAACCCUGACGCAGCGACGCCGCGUGGAUGAUGAAGGCCUUCGGGUUGUAAAAUCCUGUCAGAUGGGAAGAAGUGGUAGGUGCUUAAUACGCAUUUACUUUGACGGUACCAUCAAAGGAAGCACCGGCUAACUCCGUGCCAGCAGCCGCGGUAAUACGGAGGGUGCAAGCGUCGUUCGGAAUUACUGGGCGUAAAGCGCGCGUAGGCGGCUGUUUAAGUCAGAUGUGAAAGCCCGCGGCUCAACCGUGGACGUGCAUUUGAAACUGGACAGCUUGAGUACUGGAGGGGGUAGUGGAAUUCCCGGUGUAGAGGUGAAAUUCGUAGAUAUCGGGAGGAAUACCGGUGGCGAAGGCGACUACCUGGCCAGAUACCGACGCUGAGGUGCGAAAGCGUGAGGAGCAAACAGGAUUAGAUACCCUGGUAGUCCACGCCGUAAACGAUGUCAACUAGUGUUGGGAUGGAUCAAUCGUCUCAUGCAGGAGCAACGCAUUAAGUUGACGCUGGGGAGUACGGUCGCAGGAUAAACUCAAAGGAUCGACGGGGCUCGCACAGCGGUGAGUAUUGCAGUCGAAUGCAGUCGAAUGCAGUCGAAUGCAGUCGAAC